rnacentral:rRNA from 1 species
GAUGAACGCUGGCGGCGUGCCUAAUACAUGCAAGUCGAGCGAACAGACGAGGAGCUUGCUCCUCUGACGUUAGCGGCGGACGGGUGAGUAACACGUGGAUAACCUACCUAUAAGACUGGGAUAACUUCGGGAAACCGGAGCUAAUACCGGAUAAUAUAUUGAACCGCAUGGUUCAAUAGCGAAAGACGGUUUUGCUGUCACUUAUAGAUGGAUCCGCGCCGCAUUAGCUAGUUGGUAAGGUAACGGCUUACCAAGGCGACGAUGCGUAGCCGAACUGAGAGGGUGAUCGGCCACACUGGAACUGAGACACGGUCCAGACUCCUACGGGAGGCAGCAGUAGGGAAUCUUCCGCAAUGGGCGAAAGCCUGACGGAGCAACGCCGCGUGAGUGAUGAAGGUCUUCGGAUCGUAAAACUCUGUUAUUAGGGAAGAACAAAUGUGUAAGUAACUAUGCACGUCUUGACGGUACCUAAUCAGAAAGCCACGGCUAACUACGUG